rnacentral:rRNA from 1 species
UACAGAGGUCCCAAGCGUUGUUCGGAUUCAUUGGGCGUAAAGGGUGCGUAGGUGGCGAGGCAAGUCUGGUGUGAAAUCCCGGGGCUCAACCCCGGAACUGCACUGGAUACUGCUUUGCUAGAGUACUGGAGAGGGAACUGGAAUUUUACGGUGUAGCAGUGAAAUGCGUAGAUAUCGUAAGGAAGACCAGUGGCGAAGGCGAGUUCCUGGACAGUUACUGACACUGAGGUGCGAAAGCGUGGGGGAGCAAACAGG